rnacentral:rRNA from 1 species
AUUGAACGCUGGCGGCAGGCCUAACACAUGCAAGUCGAGCGAGCGGCGGAAGGGUGAGUAAUGUAUGGGGACUGCCCGAUAGAGGGGGAUAACUACUGGAAACGGUGGCUAAUACCGCAUACUAUCGGAUAACCCAUAUGGGAGUAGCUAGUAGGGGGGGUAAAGGCUCACCUAGGCGACGAACUCUAGCUGGUCUGAGAGGAUGACCAGCCACACUGGGACUGAGACACGGCGCAGACUCCUACGGAGGCAGCAGUGGGGAAUAUUGCACAAUGGGCGCAAGCCUGAUGCAGCCAUGCCGCGUUUAUGAAGAAGUCCUUAGGGUUGUAAAGUACUUUCAGCGGGGAGGCGUUACCCGCAGAAGAAGCACCGGCGAACUCCGUGCCAGCAGCCGCGGUAAUUC